CAAUAAUGACGGUCAAAUGACCGGCAAAAUGACUGUGAUGUACUCAAUGUGUGAUAAAGGGUUUCAUUUGCAUAUGAAAGAGUGAAACAACUACAUUUAACUGUUGCUGUGUUUUCGUCGCAUAAAUUAAUUAUUUCAGCGAAAGACAAAAGAUCAAAAAGCAAAAAAUAAAAAAUUUAAGACUAAAAUUAUAAAGAGAUUUAUUGUAAUUUAAAAACGGUGCAGGAAGUGGAGCUGAGAAUAUACAUUUCGGAGUUUAAUCUAUCUGUGGAGCAUAGGAGGAUUUUACAUUUUGUGAGCCGGCAGAUUUGACGGAUAAAUUCAUCAAGUGUGAUUGGUCAACUGUGAUGGAUAUAUCCAUAAAGAAUGAUUAGUCAAUCAUGACUAACAUUUCCAUCAUCCUUGAUUAGUAAAAAGCAAAAGAGUGAGCAGCUCAAAUAUAUGUUUUAAAAUCGGUAGAAUUCAUAAGUGCAAGGGAGAUGCAAGAUCACAUGAACACAAAAGUUUCCAUCAAAUUUUUCAUAUUGCCCUUAAGAACUUGAUAGAAACAUUGUUCUUCACUAGUGUCAGUCAAAUGACCAAUCAAAUGACUGUCACUGUUCUUGUAGGGUUGAAUCCAGAA